GUAGGGAAUAUUGGGCAAUGGAUGCAAGUCUGACCCAGCCAUCCCGCGUGCCGGAAGAAGGCCCUCAGGGUUGUAAACGGCUUUUGACGGUGAAGAAUCGACAGGAUGCGUCCUGUUUUGACGGUAGCCGUUGAAUAAGCACCGGCUAACUCCGUGCCAGCAGCCGCGGUAAUACGGAGGGUGCGAGCGUUGUCCGGAUUUAUUGGGUUUAAAGGGUGCGUAGGCUGGAAGGUCAGUCAGCGGUGAAAAGCUGUCGCUUAACGAUAGUCUUGCCGCAGAUACUUCCUUUCUUGGAUGAGGAGGAGGCCACUGGAACGGAUGGUGUAGCGGUGAAAUGCAUAGAUAUCAUCCAGAACACCGAUUGCGAAGGCAGGUGGCUGUACCUUAAUCGACGCUGAUGCACGAAAGCAUGGGGAGCAAACAGGAUUAGAAACCCGGGCAGUCC
rnacentral:rRNA from 1 species